AAUACGACUCUCGGCAACGGAUAUCUCGGCUCUCGCAUCGAUGAAGAACGUAGCGAACUGCGAUACUUGGUGUGAAUUGCAGAAUCCCGUGAACCAUCGAGUCUUUGAACGCAAGUUGCGCCCGAAGCCAUCAGGCCAAGGGCACGUCUGCCUGGGCGUCACGC
rnacentral:rRNA from 1 species